rnacentral:tRNA from 1 species
UGCGGGAUGGAGCAGAGGCAGCUCGCCAGGCUCAUAACCUGGAGGUCAGAGGUUCGAAUCCUCUUCCCGCUACCU